rnacentral:piRNA from 1 species
UGAGUGAGUUGAUCUGUUAAAACAGAUUAGG